rnacentral:rRNA from 1 species
UACGUAGGGUGCGAGCGUUAAUCGGAAUUACUGGGCGUAAAGCGUGCGCAGGCGGUUUUGUAAGUCAGAUGUGAAAUCCCCGGGCUUAACCUGGGAACUGCGUUUGAAACUACAAGGCUAGAGUGUAGCAGAGGGGGGUGGAAUUCCACGUGUAGCAGUGGAAAUGCGUAGAUAUGCGGAGGAACACCGAUGGCGAAGGCAAUCCCCUGGGCCUGCACUGACGCUCAUGCACGAAAGCGUGGGGAGCAAACAGGA